rnacentral:sRNA from 1 species
GGAAAACCUGUGAGCAGUGCUGGGCAGGAAUCCAACUAAUGAAUAAAACGUCUAAGA